AAUAAUUGCCAAGUCGGCAAGGAGAGCCUCAGCCCUUGAAGAGACCCACUUGCUAGUGACUUGGCAGUGUCAAACAAAUGUUCAACUUUUAUUCUGACACUUCUUGAAGAAUUUGAUUGAAACUAUAUAUGUCCAGAUAACACUCAGCAAAGUGCCCUUCUUGCAUUUGUUUCAAGAUAUAUUUGGAAACAAAGAGAUGACCUUGGACUCAGCUGCUUUUCCAAUUUAGGACUUCUCUCUAGGUCUACUGAAUAAUAAUAUUCCCCAACAUUGAAAAUUCAACAAAUGGAAAAACAUUUUAGUUACUAUAUGCCAUAAGUCCUAUGAUAGAGGACUUUUUCUCCCAGCAAUAUGUUCUGCUUCUAAAAGAAAUGAUAUAUUUAGCCCACAAACUCUAUAUUAGCUUUCUAACCAUCUACUUCGACAUACAUUUAGGAACACAUUUGCUUUUCAUCAGAGUGCCUUUUUGUAAUCUAAAUUGAGCUAUCCUUGCUUUUUAAAAUAUUUUAGCAUCUAAGAAAUAAAAAAACAACCCGCAGUUAACUCUUCGCCUUUGCUUUCUGGCAUUCAUAUUUUCAUUUGAAGCCGGGGUUCAUUGCAGCUUGAUGUAAGAUCUAAAAGAAGACUUUGGAGGCCCUGACAUCCCCUUCUAAGGCUAUUGCCACCUGUCCAGAUGACAAUAGAAGUCCUGCUGGUCCAACCUCAAGCCUGAAUGCCAAGAUUAGCUUCCAAUUGUGUCUACAUUUAGCCCAUGGAGAUGGAUGUUUUAACUAUCAUUAAAGUGACAUCCUUUCAGUUACCAUUUUGCAUAUUUUGGAGGUUUCAGCAGUUCCAUUUUUAAUUUGUUGUCAUGGUCACAGGAUAAGACGUAGGUAACCUUCCUGAUAAGGUGGUUUUACUUUUAAGCAAUUAAAUAAGAAUUUUAGUCUGAUCAUUGUCCUACAUGGCAUAUUAUCAGGGAUAGCCACAUUUUCUAUUUUCAUAUGGUUUCCUAAUAUGUUAUAAGCAAUUAGAGCAUUUAUAGAGAUUAAUAUGUUGUUAGCUGCAGUCUUCAGCAUGUGCAAUACAUUAAUUCCCAAUAAAAUGCUGCAUUACAGGCCGGGC
rnacentral:lncRNA from 1 species